rnacentral:rRNA from 1 species
GACGCUGGCGGCGUGGAUAAGACAUGCAASUCGAGCGAGAUUUUUCGUUGUAGCAAUACGAUGGAAAGUCUAGCGGCGAACGGGUGCUUAACACGUGGGCAACCUGCCGUGAAGUGGGGGAUAGCUCGCCGAAAGGCGAAUUAAUACAGCAUGUGAUUAGAGAGGACAUCCUUUCGAAAUUAAAGUCGGGGCAACCUGACGCUUCUUGUGGGGCCCGCGGCCUAUCAGCUAGUUGGUGAGGUAACGGCUCACCAAGGCUUUGACGGGUAGCUGGUCUGAGAGGACGACCAGCCACACUGGGACUGAGACACGGCCCAGACACCUACGGGUGGCAGCAGUCGAGAAUUUUUGACAAUGGGGGAAACCCUGAUCGAGCGACGCCGCGUGGAGGAUGAAGGUCUUCGGAUUGUAAACUCCUGUCAUUGGGGAACAAGGUGCAUACGUUAACUGCGUGUGCAUUGAUAGUACCCGAAGAGGAAGAGACGGCUAACUCUGUGCCAGCAGCCGCGGUAAUACAGAGGUCUCAAGCGUUGUUCGGAUUCAUUGGGCGUAAAGGGUGCGUAGGCGGGCGCGGGUAAGUCG